GCUGGCAGCUUUAGCGCUGUGGUCCCAUCUGACUCCAUGCCGGAACUCAGAAGUGAAACGCCGUAGCGCCGAUGGUAGUGUGGGGUCUCCCCAUGUGAGAGUAGGGAACUGCCAGGC
rnacentral:rRNA from 1 species